AUGGCGGUGUGGGCGGAGCAGCUGCAGCGCGAGCUCGCCGGCCGCGGCCUCGCCGUCGCCUCCGUUCCAGGGAAGGGCCGCGGCCUCGUCGCCGCCCGCGGCCUCGCCGUCGCCUCCGUUCCAGGGAAGGGCCGCGGCCUCGUCGCCGCCCGCAGCUUCUUCCCAGGGGAGGUCAUUAUUUGCCAAGAACCCUAUGCUUCUACGCCCAACAGGAUUUCGGUUGGAUCGAGCUGCGACCACUGCUUCGCCUCCGGCAACCUGCGGAAGUGCUCGGUUUGUCGAGUAGCUUGGUACUGCGGGAGCGUGUGCCAGAAAGAAGAAUGGAAGCUGCAUCAACUCGAGUGUCAAGCCAUCUCAGCUCUCACAGAGGAAAGGAAGAAGAUGCUUACUCCUACAAUCCGUUUGAUGGUGAAGCUCAUACUAAGAAGAAAACUGCAAAGCGAGAAGGCCAUUCCAUCUUCAGCAACAGAUAACUACGAUCUAGUGGAUGCGUUGGAGUCCCACAUCUCGAAGGUUGAUGAUAAUCAAUUGGUCCUCUAUGCUCAGAUGGCUAAUCUUGUGCAGCUGAUUCUCCCUUCAAUUGAACUUGAUCUUAAGGAAAUUGCACACACUUUUUCUAAGUUUGCCUGCAAUGCUCAUACCAUAUGUGACCCUGAACUGAGGCCCCUUGGGACUGGACUGUUUCCUGCUAUAUCAAUUAUUAACCACAGUUGUGUACCAAAUGCAGUUUUGUUAUUUGAGGGUCGGACUGCAUAUGUACGCGCGUUGCAACCCUUGAGUAGCAAUACUGAGGUAUCAAUAAGUUACAUCGAAACUGCAGCAACCACUUUGAAGAGACACAAUGAUCUCAAGCAGUACUUCUUCACCUGCACAUGUCCCCGAUGUAUUAAGGAUUCUGAGGAAGAUGCUCUCCUGGAGGGAUACAGAUGCAAGGACCAAAAGUGUGAUGGCUUUCUGCUGCCUGACUCGGGAAAGAAGGCUUAUACAUGCCAGAAAUGUAGCAUUUCUAGAGAUGAAGAAGAGGUAAAGAAGGUGUCGAGUGAAAUAUUACUGUUGUCUGACAAAGCUUCUUCGUUUCUUUCAUCUGGAAAUAAUAGUGAAGCAGGUUCAGUGUACAAGACCAUUGAGCAGUUAGAACAGAAGCAUUACCAUUCUUUCUCGACCACUUUGCUUCACACACGUGAAACACUCCUGAAGAUAUAUAUGGAGUUGCAAGAUUGGCAGACUGCAUUGAUGUAUUGCAGAUUGACUAUUCCAGUUUAUGAAAGAGUUUACCCACCUUUUCAUCCAAUGGUUGGACUGCAAUUCUAUACUUGUGGAAAGCUCGAAUGGUUGCUUGAGUACACGGAGGACGCUCUGAAAUCGUUAACCAGGGCAGCAGAUGUACUUCGGAUAACACACGGCACACAAUCCCAGUUCAUGAAAGAGCUAUUUGGUAAGCUGGAGGAAGCGAGGGCUGAAGUUUCAUUUAGGCUAUCGUCUGGAGACGAGCAAAUUUCAUGA
rnacentral:rRNA from 1 species